rnacentral:piRNA from 1 species
UGCCAUACCUACCUUUGGUCUUUAGUGCCA